rnacentral:lncRNA from 1 species
UGCUAUUGCACUCCUAGGACGUCUGGGUCCUUUAAAUAGAGUGAAAACAGAACAAAAACGAAGUCUAACCCAUGUCAUUGGCACUCAAGCGCCCUACUUAGGGCGCCCGGGCAGUGAGUAGCACUCUGUGACGCUUAAGCCUUCAAUAGGGGCACCCAAUCUUCGUGCUUAUGAUGCUUAAGCGCCCUAAAAGGGGUGUCAAGCGGUGAUCGACACUCUUCUGUGCUUAAGCCUCCAAAAAGGGCACCCAAGCUUUGAGCAUUCCUCCCUUUUAGUGCUUUUCUAGGCCUUUCUG